UUACUGAAAUGCCCCUUUUAAAUUGGAGUUGGCUUAUUAUUAUUAUUUUUUUAUUUUUUUAUAGGGUUGAACUUCUUCUACUAAUAAACUAUGAGUCAGAGAAGUUCAUCAAACUUGCUAGUUCUGAUCAACUGACCAGAAGUGUUAAUUCAAGAUUUUACUAAGGUUAAAUAAAACACUAUAUCGACAAAAAAAAAUUGUCAAAGGAAAAAAGGUAAAUUCGAUUAAGAAAGCUCUAAAAGACUAAUUACUAAAAGUUUGAGAAAAAGUCGAAACGAAGGUAAUGAUUGAGGUUUUGCGUAUACGACAAUGGAAUUUGGAACUUGGAAGACAAGACUUUUGGACCCAACACUACAGCACAGCCUUCACGUAAAGAUAAACUGGGCCUUCUUUUGGGUUUGUAAGAUUUAGCUAACGCUCCAAUGGGCUUUUACACCUGGCUUCUUUACCUCUUUUUUUCGGCUCAUAAAAUGUCUCUGUCUACACUUUUUUUUUUUUUUUUUGUUGUUGUUGUUGCUAACAGAUAUAGCCAGAGAUAAAAUAUCUUUGUAUCUGCACCUUUUACAAAAAAUUUAUUCGUCGGCAAACUUUGUUUCAUAACGAAAUCCCUAAAAUGGGCAUAUUACAAUAGUA